UGGGGAAUUUUGGGACAAUGGGCGAAAGCCUGAUCCAGCAAUGCCGCGUGUGUGAAGAAGGCCUUCGGGUUGUAAAGCACUUUUGUCCGGAAAGAAAUCCUUGGCUCUAAUACAGUCGGGGGAUGACGGUACCGGAAGAAUAAGCACCGGCUAACUACGUGCCAGCAGCCGCGGUAAUACGUAGGGUGCAAGCGUUAAUCGGAAUUACUGGGCGUAAAGCGUGCGCAGGCGGUUUGCUAAGACCGAUGUGAAAUCCCCGGGCUCAACCUGGGAACUGCAUGGUGACUGGGCAGGCUAGAGUAUGGCAGGAGGGGGGUAGAAUUCCACGUGUAGCAGUGAAAUGCGUAGAGAUGUGGAGGAAUACCGAUGGCGAAGGCAGCCCCCUGGGCCAAUACUGACGCUCAUGCACGAAAGCGUGGGGAGCAAAACAGGAUUAGAUACCCCUGGUAGUCCACGCCCUAAACGAUGUCAACUAGUUGUUGGGGAUUCAUUUCCUUAGUAACGUAGCUAACGCGUGAAGUUGACCGCCU
rnacentral:rRNA from 1 species